UACAUGUGGGGCAAGCGUUGUUCGGAAUUACUGGGCAUAAAGGGUGCGUAGGUGGUUUGUUAAGUCACUGGUGAAAGUUUGCGGCCCAACCGUAAAAUUGCCUGUGAUACUGGCGAACUUGAGUGCGUGAGGGAUGGGGGGAACGAGCAGUGUAGCGGUGAAAUGCGUAGAUAUUGCUCGGAAGGCCGGAGCCGAAGGGGCCCCAUUGGUACGUAACUGACGCUGAGGCAUGAAAGCGUGGGGAGCAAACAGG
rnacentral:rRNA from 1 species